CCUACGGGGGGCAGCAGUGGGGAAUAUUGGACAAUGGGCGCAAGCCUGAUCCAGCAAUGCCGCGUGUGUGAAGAAGGCCUGCGGGUUGUAAAGCACUUUAAGCAGGAAAGAAGGCUUCAGGGUUAAUACCCUUGGGGAUUGACGUUACCUGCAGAAUAAGCACCGGCUAACUCCGUGCCAGCAGCCGCGGUAAUACGGAGGGUGCGAGCGGGAAUCAGGAUUACGGGGGCGAAUUGGUGCGUCCGCGGUUAAAGCCCCGGGCUUAACCUGGGAACUGCAGUGGAUACUGGCAAGCUAGAGUAUGGUAGAGGAGAGUGGAAUUUCCGGUGUAGCAGUGAAAUGCGUAGAGAUCGGAAGGAACACCAGUGGCGAAGGCGGCUCUCUGGACUAAUACUGACGCUGAGGUGCGAAAGCGUGGGGAGCAAACAGGAUUAGAUACCCCUGUAGUC
rnacentral:rRNA from 1 species